GGGGAGAAAGCGAGAGCUCGCGCCGGUUCUCAAACGCUGCACGCUCGAAAUUCCUCCAAGGAACCUCUGCGAGCUUUUCUUUUUUCAUCACGCGCGAGCUAAAAAUAGAAACGGGGUUGGAUCGUGAUCCAGAAAUAGAUAGGGGGCAUCACUCCUAUAAAAGGCACACCAUUCAAGAGUACAGUGUGUGCACAGUUUGAAGAAGCGAAAAGCAAGAGCAUAUUUUAUGGAGAAACGGGCUUUUUGUCCCUUUUCCUGUGGUACUUUUCGCCUUUUUGAAAGGAGGCUCCGCGGCUGCGAUGAUUCUCUACACAUCACACACACACUCCGCUGGGAGACAGCAGCAGUGACCAAACCACAGCGAGGUCAGCAGGUGGAAUCCACAGAGUGAGUGAGAGAAACUGUAAAAGGGAAGUAAACAAUAGUUUUUCAUCAUGCUCAUAUAGCACCGACGUGACCCCCCCUUACACUGCAUUUAUUUUCUAUCUUGUGUGUCACCCCAAGAUUUUGAUGUGUCUUUUUAUUAUUAUUAUUAUUAUUAUUAUUGAUCACCACAUAAUACAAGAAUGGAAAUGUAUUUUUUUCCACUCAACCUUUUCUUCUUUUAAAAGUGAUUAGGCUUAACAGUAUUAUCUGCGAUGAAAAAGGACGUCCACUUAUUAUUGCAAGAAUGAGCCCAAGUCACAAUAGUUACCAGCCACGUAAACGAUUCAAACGGUUCCUAUUCAGGCUCAGCAGUAAAACAAGGAGAAUGUGUCACAACACGACAUUGUGUUGAAAUCAAUCAUGAGUAAUAUUUCAAUGUGUAAACACUUCAAUUGGCAGCACUCUUUGCAACUUUAAUCCCAACCACACUGCAAUGUGAAAAUCCGCUGUUUGGUCAAAGCCUCCACACAGUAAAAGUAUUCAGAAUAUUAUUAUUGUUAUUAUUAUUAUUGGUAAUAUAGAUUACUAGACAUUUUCAGAAAACUUGAGGUGAUAAAUGAGACUUCAUCUUCAAAGUUAAUGUUUAAGAUUUGACUUCAGUCUUGUGUUUGUGCCUUUUGAUAACGUGAAUGAAUGAACGACUCCUUUGAAUCUGCAUUGUGAAAUAUUUUAAUGAGAGUCACUUAAUAUGGGAGCUGUGGUCAGGGGCCCCAACCCGUCCCACGCACGCCCAUGAGCAACUAGUGAACCCCCCUCAGAUCCAGUGGAGCGGUCCUGCAGCUCAGAAAAAAAGGGAGCUCCUGAUUUGGGAGAGUGAGAAUGUGAUUAAGCCUCCUUCUCCCUGCAAUUUCCCCUCCAGGCCUUCUUUUUUAAUCGGCUCACCUGCUUAAAGACGUAAUAACAAUUACACUGACGUCAGAAUACACACACACACUAGUCAGAAGGCAUUCUCUUUCUUUAGUUACUGCUUUGUGAGGUGUCAAGGUGGUGAAAACAACAACAAAAAGAUGAUGUUGUUUACAGUAAGGAACAACCAGAUUUGAAAAGUCUUUAAAAGGUCUUUGACCAAGAUAUACAUAUAUUUAUACAUAUAUAAUAAUUCCAGAAAUCAAAGGUAUAAUAAAAUUAGAGUUUGUACAGAGUUUAGAUCCAGGGAGUAAAGCUGUUUUGUGUGUGUUUGUGUGUGUGUGUCUUUUUCUUUUUAUAAGGUUUUAUGAGUCAUUGUAAACAUCUGUCCUUGCACUGUACACCAGAGUGUGAUUUGGGAGUGAUUUUUGUGUUUUCUUUUGUGAGUGUGAAAGAAUCCUAAAGCUGGUACAUGUUUGGAACUGGACAAACACUUCCUAUGAAACAUAACAAAGAGACUGCUCUCCUCCUAGCUCCUUUAUUUAUCUUCUUCUGCUGUGACAAAUGUAUCAUUGUUUAGUUGUGAUAGUGAGCACGUUUUAAUUUAAUUUAAAUUUAAUUUUUUUUUUCAUGACACAGAGUGCAAGUUGUGUGUAAGGAGUAAAUGUGCCUUCUUGUUAUGGCGUUACUGCUGAAUAUGUGUGUGUGUGUGUGUGUGUGUGUACACAUCUCUACAAUUAAGUCCAGUGCAUGUGUAUGCAACAUUUACAGCAACCAAUAUUACUGUUCUAUCUUAAUUUGUUGAAAUCUUACAGUGAGACAAACGUCACCAAGCACCUGCAAACAAGGUGUACAUGUUCUGCUCCUGCACUUUUAUUAGGUGGAAAUGUUUUCAGUAAAACCAGCUGAUCUUACUGUUAGUAGUUUUCAGAGAUACACCGCACAUAACACUAAAUAAAUACAAAUCUACAACAAUUUCUUCACACGCUCUGUUAGGUCAAGGAAAUAUUCAGCUAUCCUGAACUGAAAAGAAGAUUAAUGUGUUCAAAAUGUGAAACUCCUUUGAAUAUGCCAUUAAGCUCAACUCCAAAUUUACCCCUGCAUAACUGUUUUUUUCUCAAUUUAACAACAGAUGACAAAGAGAUACAAGUUGUGUGCAUGGAGUCAGUGUGCGUCCUUCACAUGUAGGAGUGUGUGUGUGUGUGUGUGUGUGUGUGUGUUACCUUUUACUUUACACUUUUAUUUCCUCUGUUCAUGGGUGUUUUCUUAAAAUUAAUGUAACUUAAUUUUACAUUUGAUCUCAUUCUGCCUCAUUUGUCAUGUCUUUUUUCUUUUUCUAUUCAAAAGUGUCGUAAUGUCUAUGGAGUAUAUGCAAAUAAAUAAAUAGCUUUAAGAAAAAGUAAAUCUCUAUCCCAAGAAUGACUGAAUGUGUUAAUGUUAAAGUCACCCCAUUUGCUUUGAUUAUAAAAGGAUUUCCAAUUUAAUUGUAUGCUGUUAACUGUGUGUGUUUUGUUUCAGAAGAUGCUUUGUUUCAAUAUUAAUGCUGCUUUUAACUAUUUAUACUGCAGCUUUAAAAUAAAAGCAGUGUGUCCUUGUUGAUUUUGUAUGUUUGCAUGAUUUUGCAUGUGUGCCAUGUGCAACGCUUUUAAAAACUUGUAAUCAGUGCAAUAACACAAUGGAAAUAAACAUUAAUAAAACCCUGUGAAAAUGAUGUACUGUUUUGUUGUUGUUGUUGAAUCUGACAGAUACAACUACAGAAUGUAAAAAAGUGUGUUUUGUCCUGUAAAAGCCAA
rnacentral:lncRNA from 15 species